rnacentral:rRNA from 1 species
UACGUAGGUGGCAAGCGUUGUCCGGAAUCAUUGGGCGUAAAGCGCGUGUAGGCGGCUCAGUAAGUCCGCUCUGAAAGCCCGGGGCUUAACCCCGGGAGGCGGGUGGAUACUGCUGAGCUUGAGUCCGGAAGAGGCGAGUGGAAUUCCCGGUGUAGCGGUGAAAUGCGCAGAUAUCGGGAGGAACACCAAUGGCGAAGGCAGCUCGCUGGGACGUGACUGACGCUGAGACGCGAAAGCGUGGGGAGCAAACAGG